GGCAGAGUGGAGAAAAAACAUGGAUCUUGAUCUAGAUUCUAGGUUCAAAUCCUGGCUCUGCCA
rnacentral:tRNA from 1 species